AACGAACGCUGGCGGCAGGCCUAACACAUGCAAGUCGAGCGAGAUCUUCGGGUCUAGCGGCGGACGGGUGAGUAACGCGUGGGAAUAUGCCUCUUGGUACGGAAUAGCCUCGGGAAACUGGGAGUAAUACCGUAUGUGCCCUUUGGGGGAAAGAUUUAUCGCCAAGAGAUUAGCCCGCGUUGGAUUAGGUAGUUGGUGGGGUAAUGGCCUACCAAGCCGACGAUCCAUAGCUGGUUUGAGAGGAUGAUCAGCCACACUGGGACUGAGACACGGCCCAGACUCCUACGGGAGGCAGCAGUGGGGAAUCUUAGACAAUGGGGGCAACCCUGAUCUAGCCAUGCCGCGUGAGUGAUGAAGGCCUUAGGGUUGUAAAGCUCUUUCAGCUGGGAAGAUAAUGACGGUACCAGCAGAAGAAGCCCCGGCUAACUCC
rnacentral:rRNA from 1 species